GGUUUAAAGGGAUAUAAAUACGUAAACACAACAUACUCGACAUAAACCGAGUAUUUUCCGGACAUUUAUUGUUUUAUUUAACACUCCAACUAUAAUACACGAUUACUUUGUUUACAGGAGUCUGAGGAAGGCUAAAAAGAAAUGCUGCAGUUUGAGACAUUGCUUCUGAGACAGCUGCAGAAACAGCAGAACAGGAAUGAGUUCUGUGACAUUGUCCUACACACUCAAGAAUGACCCUCCAUGCAGGCGCAGGCGAAGAGGCCGUCCUCGUGGAUGUGCACUUCCUCAUGCUUCCCGCAGUUUCUCAACAGUGACAUCAUCCAAACAGGACAUGGUGGAUUCUACAGAACUUGACCUGUUACACACUGUGAUCCCCACACCAACAGCUCAAAUGGAGCCCGUUCAGCCCAUUGACGCACUCCUAGAUGACAUCAUGACAGGCCUUCAUUUUCUACCCUCAGCAGAAAAUCAAACCAAUCAACAUGGCUUCAUGAGCAUCACUUCCACUUCCAGUGGUGCACCCAUUUCGAAAGCUAUGUAUCCCAACAGUCAUUCCAUAAAACCCACAGAUCCA